rnacentral:sRNA from 1 species
CUCUAGCCCCGAUGGGAGUGAUAUCCUUUUGUGUCCGCCGCGGCAGACACAAAAGAUUUAACGGACAGCGGGACGAGGC